ACCAUCCUUCCCGCCUGAGGUGACCGCCUGCGUAAAGCCGGUGGUUGAAACGGGAAUCCGGUGCGGCGCGAAAGCGCCUAGUCCGGAGCUGCCCCCGCAACGGUAGGCGAACCGCGAUCCCUGUGAUCGCAGGAACGACUUCAAGCCACUGUGCCACGUGCAUGGGAAGGCGUCGUUCCCAAGGACAUGACGUCCUGGUUCGUGAGCCCGGAGACCGGCCUCGAGGUACGACCAGAC
rnacentral:ncRNA from 1 species